rnacentral:sRNA from 26 species
GCCUCCAAGCCUCUUAACAAUGCUCAAAUCCGGGGGCU